rnacentral:lncRNA from 1 species
UUCGGAGAAGAAGGUUGCAGAGCAGUUCAUGGCGGAGGUAGCCUCCAUUGGAAGAACGUACCAUAUCAACCUGGUCAGGCUCUAUGGCUUCUGCUUCGACCCCACCAUGCGAGCUCUCGUCUACGAGUAUGUGGAGAAUGGUUCCCUGGACAGGCUCUUGUUCGGUGAGAACAAGGCAACUAAUGAUCAAUGGGGAAAGUUUGAAGAAAUUGCAGUCGGGACAGCGAAAGGAAUCGCAUACCUCCAUGAAGAGUGUCGGCAGAGAAUCAUCCACUACGAUAUAAAACCUGCAAAUGUUCUUCUCGAUGCAGUUUUCUCUCCAAAAUUGGCAGAUUUCGGACUAGCAAAGCUCUGUAACAGGGACAGCACCCAGGUCCCCGUGACGGGC